rnacentral:lncRNA from 1 species
GGCCAACAUCUGAGUCUCCUCAGCACUCAAGUUUGAGAGAAGUCCUAGUGACUUCAAGCUCGGAACUAACGCGGCAGCGGCUCCCUCUCGACGUUGAAGCCUCCCUCCCUUUCCAGGGAGAGACGAGGCACGGACCGACAAAGCCCACGAACACCGAUGAGCGAGCUGCCGGCCACCCCAGCUUCUACAAUCCGACCUUCUCCUUCUGCCUCUACCGACAAAAUGGACAGAAAUUUACUUUUUAAAAGACACUUUCAAGAGAAUGAGAAGAUAAUCAUCAAGUGGGAGAAAAUAUCUGUAAAUCUUCUAUCUAAGAAAACACUUGAUCCAGGAUGUAAUGAAGCACUGUCACAACGGCAAUUAAAUUUCAACAUGAGUUUUGGGAGGAACAUUCAAACCAUGGCAGAUUAUUCUCCUAGGCUGCUUUGACCUAGGUUAUUUCCAGCUCCCUUUCAUAACUGCCUCAGUCCUGUUCCGU